UACGGAGGGGACUAGCGUUGUUCGGAAUUACUGGGCGUAAAGCGCACGUAGGCGGAUUUGUAAGUCAGGGGUGAAAUCCCGGGGCUCAACCUCGGAACUGCCUUUGAUACUGCAAAUCUCGAGUCCGGAAGAGGUGAGUGGAAUUCCUAGUGUAGAGGUGAAAUUCGUAGAUAUUCGGAGGAACACCGGUGGCGAAGGCGGUUCUCUGGGCCUUACCUGACGCUGAGGAGCGAAAGCGUGGGGAGCGAACAGG
rnacentral:rRNA from 1 species